rnacentral:lncRNA from 1 species
UCAUGAACUUUCCACAAUUAGAACGACAUCACAUGCACGCGUCGCUGUAUACGACACCGUUUUACGUUAAGAGUCUGCAUCAAGUACGGUUCUUGUCACUUGGCCGGACCCACCACUCACAGCCUCCUCUUGUUUCCACCUUUAACGUUAUCGCUGCCUCAUCUGAUUUCGCCAGUCCACAAAUCUUAUUUCGCUUCUGUUUUUCUCCGGCUUCAAAAAAAGUAAGAUAUACAUAUAUAUAUAUAUAUGUUAUGUGCACUAAAAGAGCAAAGAUAAGAUGCGUGGGUGUAUGAACCUAGUGUAUUCAAGUCUUUGAGUAGUCUUCACCUUCAGUGAUCUCUCUGUAUUUCUGAGUCUCGGCAAGUAGAGCUACAGCUAGAUAUUUCAAAAACAAGUUAAAAAUGGGAUAUGAUAAUCUUCUUCAUCUCUUCCUCGUCCCCUUCCCUGCGCAAGGUCAUGUCAACCCACUUCUCAGGCUCGGCAAGCGCCUUGCCUCCAAGGGCUUCCUCGUCACCUUCACCGCGCCCGACAUCGUCGGCAAUAAGAUGCGAACUGCGAACAUUAAUAUCUCCGCCGACUUAACGCCGAUCGGUGACGGCUUCAUCAGGUUCGAGUUCUUUCACGACGGAUGGAACGACGACGAUCCCCGGCGAUAUGACCUCA